AACUUUUAACAACGGAUCUCUUGGUUCUCGCAUCGAUGAAGAACGUAGCAAAGUGCGAUAACUAGUGUGAAUUGCAUAUUCAGUGAAUCAUCGAGUCUUUGAACGCAUCUUGCACUCAUUGGUAUUCCAAUGAGUACGCCUGUUUCAGUAUCA
rnacentral:rRNA from 2 species